rnacentral:sRNA from 1 species
GGCCAUGGUGAAAAGGAAAAAAACAAGGUGAAACAUCCGGCCAUGGCC